CAUCCCUCUGGAGAUGUUGGACUGCCGGUUCCAGCCUGAUCCCCGCAGGCCACGUUGAGGGACCUGGGCCUCUAGGAUUGAUGCUGGAACCUGGGGCUGAAUUGUUUUGGUUGUUGCUUUGCUGGAGGAGUCAGGAUCCUACAUCUGGGAUAAAUGGUCAUGCCAUGCCACAGGAAGCGGGAAUUUGAGGAGAAGCAAUGUCAUGAGUAACCUUAUGAAGUGGCCCAAGUGGUGAGGAAUUGAAGCUUCUGGCCAGCAGACAUGUGAGUGAGUUUGGAAUCAGGUCCUCUAGCCCCACUCAAGCCUGAGACUGUAGCCCUGGCUGACAUCUUGACUGCAAUCUUAUGGGAGACUCUGAGCCAGGAUCACCCUGAGGAAUUCCUGACCCCUAGAAACUGCAUGAUAUAAUAAAUGUUUAUUGUUUUAAGCUAAAUUUUGGAGUAAUGGGUUA